rnacentral:rRNA from 1 species
AACGAACGCUGGCGGCGUGGAUAAGACAUGCAAGUCGAACGAGAGAAUUGCUAGCUUGCUAAUAACUCUCUAGUGGCGCACGGGUGAGUAACACGUGAGUAACCUGCCCCCGAGAGCGGGAUAGCCCUGGGAAACUGGGAUUAAUACCGCAUAGUAUCGAAAGAUUAAAGCAGCAAUGCGCUUGGGGAUGGGCUCGCGGCCUAUUAGUUAGUUGGUGAGGUAACGGCUCACCAAGGCGAUGACGGGUAGCCGGUCUGAGAGGAUGUCCGGCCACACUGGAACUGAGACACGGUCCAGACACCUACGGGUGGCAGCAGUCGAGAAUCAUUCACAAUGGGGGAAACCCUGAUGGUGCGACGCCGCGUGGGGGAAUGAAGGUCUUCGGAUUGUAAACCCCUGUCAUGUGGGAGCAAAUUAAAAAGAUAGUACCACAAGAGGAAGAGACGGCUAACUCUGUGCCAGCAGCCGCGGUAAUACAGAGGACUCAAGCGUUGUUCGGAAUCACUGGGCGUAAAGCGUGCGUAGGCUGUUUCGUAAGUCGUGUGUGAAAGGCGCGGGCUCAACCCGCGGACGGCACAUGAUACUGCGAGACUAGAGUAGUGGAGGGGGAACCGGAAUUCUCGGUGUAGCAGUGAAAUGCGUAGAUAUCGAGAGGAACACUCGUGGCGAAGGCGGGUUCCUGGACAUUAACUGACGCUGAGGCACGAAGGCCAGGGGAGCGAAAGGGAUUAGAUACCCCUGUAGUCCUGGCAGUAAACGGUGCACGCUUGGUGUGCGGGGAAUCGACCCCCUGCGUGCCGGAGCUAACGCGUUAAGCGUGCCGCCUGGGGAGUACGGUCGCAAGAUUAAAACUCAAAGAAAUUGACGGGGACCCGCACAAGCGGUGGAGUAUGUGGCUUAAUUCGAUGCAACGCGAAGAACCUUACCUGGGCUUGACAUGUAAUGAACAACAUGUGAAAGCAUGCGACUCUUCGGAGGCGUUACACAGGUGCUGCAUGGCCGUCGUCAGCUCGUGUCGUGAGAUGUUUGGUUAAGUCCAGCAACGAGCGCAACCCCUGUUGCCAGUUACCAGCACGUGAAGGUGGGGACUCUGGCGAGACUGCCCAGAUCAACUGGGAGGAAGGUGGGGACGACGUCAGGUCAGUAUGGCCCUUAUGCCCAGGGCUGCACACGUACUACAAUGCCCAGUACAGAGGGGGCCGAAGCCGCGAGGCGGAGGAAAUCCUGAAAACUGGGCCCAGUUCGGACUGUAGGCUGCAACCCGCCUACACGAAGCCGGAAUCGCUAGUAAUGGCGCAUCAGCUACGGCGCCGUGAAUACGUUCCCGGGUCUUGUACACACCGCCCGUCACAUCAUGGAAGCCGGUCGCACCCGAAGUAUCUGAAGCCAACCGCAAGGAGGCAGGGUCCUAAGGUGAGACUGGUAA